GGCUCAAGCUUGGUAGAGCAUGGUGUUUGCAACGCCAGGGUUGUGGGUUCGAUUCCCAC
rfam:Salmo salar isolate Sally breed double haploid chromosome ssa17, whole genome shotgun sequence.